AGCAAUUUGGCGCAGUGGAAGCGCGGUAUGUUCAUACUCUCAAGUAUUACAACUCACCAGUUCGACAACUAACUCCUCCCAGCCGGGCUCAUAACCCGGAGGUCGCACGAUCGAAACGUGCAAUUGCUA